rnacentral:rRNA from 1 species
UACGGGGGGGGGCAAGCGUUGUUCGGAAUUACUGGGCGUAAAGGGCUCGUAGGUGGCCAACUAAGUCGGACGUGAAAUCCCUCGGCUUAACCGGGGAAUGGCAUCCGAUACUGGAUGGCUUGAGUUUGGGAGAGGGACGCGGAAUUCCAGGUGUAGCGGUGAAAUGCGUAGAUAUCUGGAGGAACACCGGUGGCGAAGGCGGCGUCCUGGACCAAUACUGACACUGAGGAGCGAAAGCCAGGGGAGCAAAGCGGG